rnacentral:tRNA from 1 species
GGAGAGAUGGCUGAGUGGUCGAAGGUGACGGUCUCGAAAAUCGUUGUAUCCUCACGGGUACCGAGGGUUCGAAUCCCUCUCUCUCCGCCA